rnacentral:lncRNA from 1 species
GCAGCACUGCCCUGCUGUUGCCGCCGUCGAGGCGUGCGGGUACCCAUGCUCGCGGCCAGAGCCGGGCACCUGUUCGGUAAUGUAGACUGUACAGCACAUGCUGAUAGGAUAUUACAUUGACUUUUGCCAGUCGUACUGGACGAUCAAGUUUUCAUGGUUGUAUCGGACUUGAGGAAGGAGUAUCUACUAAGGUUCAGCUAGCAACUGUGUCGACUUUCAGUUAGUUAGGCCUUGUGUACGCCCGCGACACGCAGCUCAAAGAGCAGAGUUUAUGAAAACAAACAAGCGGACCGUUAGCAUGACAAGUCCGGUUUCGAGUCCAAUUCUUUGCUGUACAUAGGGAAAUCAGUUUGCUUUUUUUAUUCAGCACCUAAAAGAGCUCUGCCUCAAGGCCAGUUCGUUUCACCUCUCAAUUCUCCAGAGUCUUAUUCUGGGAACCUGUCCACAAAAUCGUUUGUCUGCUUUGUCAAGAUUGGGCCGGGCCAAUAGGAGACGGGUAGGCGGGGGCGGUGAAGACAGGUAACCGGGCACAGAGACGAUGGAGCGGAGUAGGGUGGCUGCCGCCAGCGGAUCUGACGGCGCUAGGUUGGAGUCGCCGGUUGGAGGCGGGAACCGUAGCUCGAGGGCUCACGCGGGCAUCUGGUACGGUGAGACGAACGCGAGGGGGAGAGGAACGCGAGAGGCGCGAGGCUGUGUUUUGGGCCUCUGUUGGUCUGGACCGGGUGUCAAUUUGGAGGUAAAUUGAUUGUCAAAUAGGGGUAUUAGGCCCUGUUUGUUUGGGCUGCGGCUGAACGAGAAGCAGCUGGAGCUGGUAGAAGCUGGAGCUGGUAGAAGCUGAGAAGUAGGCUGGAGUUGGUAGAAGCUGAGAAGUCCAAAAAGCAUGUUUGGUAACUUUUUUAGGACGGCUGCUGAGGCUGUAGCUGGCGGUGAAAGUCUGUAAUGCCUUUGGAUGAUGAAGAUGUUAUUUAAACACUGAUUUGACAUGAUUUAUCUGAUUAUGCCGUAUAUUAUCUCAAAUGAUAUGUUUAGCUUCUAAUUUAGCCCAAAAAUAUUGUUUUUGUUGCAAAAUAAUUAUAGAUAAUAAAGUUUGAUAGAUUUAGUAGGUAUUUAAAUAUUUCUUCCAUGGCCAGUGGUACAUACAGUGUGUUUCAAUGAAUUUUGACAUAUGACAAUACCUUUGAACACAUCAUAACAAUAUAGUACCGACUAUAUAUUACAUCAAACUGUCUUUUCGAUUGCAAAAUACAUGGUAGUGGUGAAAUACAAUCCUACUCUCUCGCCACAAACACAUAGUUCAACAAUUAAACAAGCAAAUACAUAGUUUAAAUAAUUCAACAAUUAAGCCAGGAAAUACAUAGUUAAACAAUCUCUACUCUUAUAAAAAACCGAGUCUCUCUUCAUUUGACUUCAUUGCAUAAAAGAAACAGCGGUUUGAUGGUUUUACUUGCUUUCUCAUUUGUUUCCCCAACCAUGAUCAUAAGAUCCUUUACAUCCGAGGGAGGUCCUUUGCGGAAAGCUCGACUUGCCAUGUGAAUCUACACAUAAAAUACAACUUUAGUACUUUUUAUAUACAUAAUAGAACAUGCCAUUAGUAAAUUGGUUUUCUGCAUUUGAAAGCAACCAACCUUGAAAGCAACCAUCCAUUUGAAGUAAUUGUUUAGCCUAUGUCCAUGUUGUACUUGAUCAGCUGCACACUUGGAAAAAACUUCGCUGGGCUCUCGAUCCCACAUCUGAACUGACAUCUACAUAGUUAGACAUCAAGCAAUCAUCAAACUCUCACCUAAUAGUCCAGAUAUAUGUGAACAUACAUGCACAACCCGUGACAACAAGUAACCAUGACCAACAUACAUAUAUUAUAUCUAGCAAGCAUUUCCAACAAUCAACAAGCAACCGUGUUAUCCAUAUGCACGUCCAGCAAGCACAUUUUGUUCAAAUUGACAACAAGUGACAAUUUUUGGUCACAUAUGCCUGACAAAUCUCACAAGCACAAAACAUAUAUAAACAUUUAUAUAUCCUAUACACAUGCCUCACAAAUCACACAACAAGUCUCAUCUCUUAGGAGAAAUUUUUUAUCUGGAUGUUUGUCGACAACCAAGUCCAACUUUCAGAUGAUACAUCAAGCAAAUUAAUGUCCAAUACUAUUAUACAAAUAAACAAGAAAAUUAGUGUCAAUAUUUAUCAUUAAUUUGUAUGAUACAAAUCAAGAAAGUACCAUGACAACACUAGCAAGCAUAUCACAUCUACUACAUGACAAUUUUUUCAUACCAAUCAUACACCAAGCAACAUGAUAAUUUGUUCAUAGCAACAAGUAAAACUUUUUUUAUAGGAAUCAUGAAGAAAUGGCUCACCUUGAGCUUGCUCGAGGUAGCAGUGGAGGGAGACCGAGGGGGCAUGAUUGAGGCAGCAACCGAGUUCGUGGGACGGGUGGUCGGAUCCAGUACGCGUCGUGGCUGGUGAGGGUUGAGAAGGCCGGAUCCCGCCCGCGUCGCUGCUGCAGAUGGCGGCGGUGCUGGGUCCUGGAGUAGGUAGCGGAGCGAGCUCCUAGAUCGGGAGGAGGCGAGGAGGAGGAACGGGAGAGAUCCGGCUGAGGGGGCGCGAGCUCCGACUGCCAGGGUCACCGGAGAUGGCGGCAGCGGAGUGAACCCUAGCGCCUCCUCUGUGCUCUAUCUUGCUACCAGAUCAGCGGGGAGGGGAAUGGGGUUACGGUGUGGGAGAACAAAAAUCUAAAGGGGUGGUGACGGUGGCAUUUCUGAUGUAAUUUCGGGGAAGUGGGGGGGGGGCAGGCUUUUGGGGGAGGGGUGAGAAGCCGGCGCAACUACAGGAAGCUACUCUGGACGUGCUUUUACCUCGUAGUGCAAUUUGGAGAUGCACUUCUCGGAAGCCUGGUCGUAGGAAAUAACUGUUUGGCUGGGCUUCAACUUUUAGGGGGCUAGAAGCAGCAAAAGCUGAAGCCCAAGCCCAAACAAACAGGGCCUUAGUUCAAAGCGAGCUGUCCUUUAGGAUCGCCCACUCUUUACUCUUAUAGAAUAGAAUUACAUAACAAGAAAUGAUUCUUUUAUGCUGCCAGCCAAACUCGCGUGCACCAUCACUAUUUAUAACAAACUUUCAUACUUGUUUAAAAGUCUUUUCUCAAUUACAGUCAUAGCUAAUUACUAUGGUAAAUUAAACUACAUUUUUCUUUACAUUUUUCAAUAUAACAUGGCUUUAAAAUAUUUAAAUCAGUUCCACUUAAAUGUGAUAAAAUCAGAAAAGAAAAAUUGCAUGCCUUUUUGAAUUAAUUUAUGAAUCUUGCAAUAAUAUAUGUAUAUGAAUGUGUCGUUUACUAUCUUAAUAAAUAAUUCUAAAUAUUGCGGUGUAAAAAUGUAUUUAUAGCCGUGUUUAUAAUUAGAUAUAUCUAAAUAGACAAAUCUGGAGUACACAAGAUGUUUACAAGGAGCUUUGUACCUAAUAAUUGACAUGUGUUUUAGUCAUUUUUACUGAUCAACAUAUUUUAAUGUAUUAUCGUGGGUUCAAUAAUUUUAAAAGUAUCACACCGUCAUUCCCGUGUUGAACUAAGAGUGACUAUUCAUCCGCGACCUGGCUGAAGAGGCUGUUUUCAUCCACGUAUAGGCCGAAUAGUGACUCUUUGUUUGCACACAAGCUGAAGAGGCACUCUUUGAAGGAAAUAUGCCCUAGAGGCAAUAAUAAUGUUAUUAUUUUAUUUCCUUAUAUCAUGAUAAAUGUUUAUUAUUCAUGCUAGAAUUGUAUUAUCCGGAAACAUAAUACUUGUGUGAAUACAUAGACAAACUAAACAUCACUAAUAUGCCUCUACUUGACUAGCUCGUUAAUCAAAGAUGGUUAUGUUUCCUAACUAUAGACAUGUGUUGUCAUUUGAUUAACGGGAUCACAUUAUUAGGAGAAUGAUGUGAUUGACAUGACCCAUUCCAUUACUUAGCAUCCGAUCAUUUAGUAUGUUGCUAUUGCUUUCUUCAUGACUUAUACAUGUCCCUAUGACUAUGAGAUUAUGCAACUCCCGUUUGCCGGAGGAACACUUUGUGUGCUACCAAACGUCACAACAUAACUGGGUGAUUAUAAAGGAGCUCUACAAGUGUCUCCAAAGGUAAAUGUUGGGUUGGCGUAUUUCGAGAUUAGGAUUUGUCACUCCGAUUGUCGGAGAGGUAUCUCUGAGCCCUCUCGGUAAUGCACAUCACAUAAGCCUUGCAAGCAUUGCAACUAAUGAGUUAGUUGCGAGAUGAUGUAUUACGAAACGAGUAAAGAGACUUGCCGGUAACGAGAUUGAACUAGGUAUUGAGAUACCGACGAUCGAAUCUCGGGCAAGUAACAUACCGAUGACAAAGGGAACCACGUAUGUUGUUAUGCGGUCUGACCGAUAAAGAUCUUCAUAGAAUAUGUGGGAGCCAAUAUGAGCAUCUAGGUUCCGCUAUUGGUUAUUGACUGGAGACGUGUCUCGGUCAUGUCUACAUUGUUCUCAAACCCGCAGGGUCCCGCACGCUUAAGGUUUCAAUGACAGUUAUAUUAUGAGUUUAUGAGUUUUGAUGUACCGAAGUUAGUUCGGAGUCCCGGAUGUGAUCACGGACAUGACGAGGAGUCUCUAAAUGGUCGAGACAUAAAGAUUGAUAUAUUGGAAGCCUAUGUUUGGACAUCAGAAGUGUUCCGGGUGAAAUCGGCAUUUUACUGGAGUACCGGAACCCCCCGGUAACCUAAUGGGCCUUAAUGGGCCUAGUGGAGGAAGAGGAGAGGAGGCCUAGGGGCUGCCGCGCGCCCCUCCCCCCCCCAAGUCCGAAUUGGACAAGGAGGGGGGGGGGGGCGGCGCCCCGCCUUUCCUUUCUUCCCUCUCCUCCUUCCCCCCAAGUCCUAAUCCAACUAGGGAAAGGGAGGGGAGUCCUACUCCUGGUAGGAGUAGGACUCCUCCUGCGCGCCUCCUCCUAGGGCCGGCCGCACCCCCCAUUGGCUUCUUUAUAUACGGGGCAGGGGGCACCCCUAGACACACAAGUUGAUCUCUAAGAUUGUUCUCUUAGCCGUGUGUGGUGCCCCCUUCCACCAUAGUCCUCGAUCAUAUUGUAGUGGUGCUUAGGCGAAGCCCUGCGACAGUAGAACAUCAAGAUCGUCACCACGCCGUCGUGCCGACGGAACUCUUCCCCGACACUUUGCUGGAUCAGAGUCCGGGGAUCGUCAUCGAGCUGAACGUGUGCUAGAACUCGGAUGUGCCGUAGUUUCGGUGCUUGAUCGGUCGGGCCGUGAAGACGUACGACUACAUCAACCGCGUUGUCAUAAUGCUUCCGCUGUCGGUCUACGAGGGUACGUAGAUCACACUCUCCCCUCUGGUUGCUAUGCAUCACCAUGAUCUUGCGUGUGCGUAGGAAAUUUUUUAAAAUUACUACGUUCCCCAAUAGUGGCAUCCGAGCCUAGGUUUUAUGCGUUGAUGUUAUAUGCACGAGUAGAACACAAGUGAGUUGUGGGCGAUAUAAGUCAUACUGCUUACCAGCAUGUCAUACUUUGGUUCGGAGGUAUUGUUGGACGAAGCGGCCCGGACCGACAUUACGCGUGCGCUUACGCGAGACCGGUUCUCCCGACGUGCUUUGCACAAAGGUGGCUAGCGGGUGUCAGUUUCUCCAACUUUAGUUGAACCAAGUGUGGCUACGCCCGGUCCUUACGAAGGUUAAAACAACACCAAUUUAACAAACUAUCAUUGUGGUUUUGAUGCGUAGGUAAGAACGGUUCUUGCUAAGCCCGUAGCAGCCACGUAAAACUUGCAACAACAAAGUAGAGGACGUCUAACUUGUUUUUGCAGGGCAUGUUGUGAUGUGAUAUGGUCAAGACAUGAUGCUAAAUUUUAUUGUAUGAGAUGAUCAUGUUUUGUAACUAAGUUAUCAGCAACUGGCAGGAGCCAUAUGGUUGUCGCUUUAUAUUAUGCAAUGCAAUUGUGCAGUAAUGCUUUACUUUAUCACUAAGUGGUAGCGAUAGUCGUGGAAGCAUAAGAUUGGCGAGACGACAACGAUGCUACGAUGAUGAUCAAGGUGUCGCGCCGAUGACGAUGGUGAUCAUGACGGUGCUUCGAAGAUGGAGAUCACAAGCACAAGAUGAUGAUGACCAUAUCAUAUCACUUAUAUUGAUUGCAUGUGAUGUUUAUAUUUUAUACAUCUUAUCUUGCUUUGAUUGACGGUAGCAUUUUAAGAUGAUCUCUCACUAAUUAUCAAGAAGUGUUCUCCCUGAGUAUGCACCAUUGUGAAAGUUCUUCGUGCUGAGACACCACGUGAUGAUCGGGUGUGAUAGGCUCUACGUUCAAAUACAACGGGUGCAAAACAGUUGCACACACGAAAUACUCAGGUUAUACUUGACGAGCCAAGCAUAUAUAGAUAUGGCCUCGGAACACGGAGACCGAAAGGUCGAGCGUGAAUCAUAUAGUAGAUAUGAUCAACAUAGUGAUGUUCACCAAUGAAACUACUCCAUCUCACGCGAUGAUCGGACAUGGUUUGGUUGAUUUGGAUCACGUGAUCACUUAGAGGAUUAGAGGGAUGUCUAUCUAAGUGGGAGUUCUUUAGUAAUAUGAUUAAUUGAACUUAAAUUUAUCAUGAACUUAGUACCUGAUAGUAUCUUGCUUGUUUAUGUUUGAUUGUAGAUAGAUGGCCCGUGCUGUUGUUCCGUUGAAUUUUAAUGCAUUCCUUGAGAAAGCAAAGUUGAAAGAUGAUGGUAGCAAUUACACGGACUGGGUCCAUAACUUGAGGAUUAUCCUCAUUGCUGCACAGAAUAAUUACGUCCUGGAAGCACCGCUGGGUGCCAGGCCUGCUGCUGGACCAACACCAGAUGUUAUGAACGUCUGGCAGAGCAAAGCUGAUGACUACUCUAUAGUUCAGUGUGCCAUGCUUUACGGCUUAGAAUCAGGACUUCAACGACGUUUUGAACUUCAUGGAGCAUAUGAUAUGUUCCAGGAGUUGAAGUUAAUAUUUCAAGCAAAUGCCCGGAUUAAGAGAUAUGAAGUCUCCAAUAAGUUCUAUAGCUGCAAGAUGGAGGAGAACAGUUCUGUCAGUGAGCAUAUACUCAAAAUGUCUGAGUAUAAUAAUCACUUGAUUCAAUUGGGAGUUAAUCUUCCAGAUGAUUGCGUCAUUGACAGAAUUCUCCAAUCACUUCCACCUAGCUACAAGAGCUUCGUGAUGAACUAUAAUAUGCCAGGGAUGAAUAAGACUAUUCCCGAGCUCUUCGCAAUGCUGAAAGCUGCGGAGGUAGAAAUCAAGAAGGAGCAUCAAGUGUUGAUGGUCAACAAGACCACUAGUUUCAAGAAAAAGGGCAAAGGGAAGAAGAAGGGGAACUUCAAAAAGAACAGCAAGCAAGUUGCUGCUCAAGAGAAGAAACCCAAAUCUGGACCUAAGCCUGAAACUGAGUGCUUCUACUGCAAGCAGACUGGUCGCUGGAAGCGGAACUGCCCCAAGUAUUUGGCGGAUAAGAAGGAUGGCAAGGUGAACAAAGGUAUAUGCGAUAUACAUGUUAUUGAUGUGUACCUUACUAAUGCUCGCAGUAGCACCUGGGUAUUUGAUACUGGUUCAGUUGCUAACAUUUGCAACUCGAAACAGGGACUACGGAUUAAGCGAAGAUUGGCUAAGGACGAGGUGACGAUGCGCGUGGGAAAUGGUUCCAAAGUCGAUGUGAUCGCGGUCGGCACGCUACCUCUACAUCUACCUUCAGGAUUAGUAUUAGACCUAAAUAAUUGUUAUUUGGUGCCAGCGAUGAGCAUGAACAUUAUAUCUGGAUCAUGUUUGAUGCGAGACGGUUAUUCAUUUAAAUCAGAGAAUAAUGGUUGUUCUAUUUAUAUGAGUAAAAUCUUUUAUGGUCAUGCACCCAUGAAGAAUGGUCUAUUCUUAUUAAAUCUCGAUAGUAGUGACACACACAUUCAUAAUGUUGAAGCCAAAAGAUGCAGAGUUGAUAAUGAUAGUGCAACUUAUUUGUGGCACUGCCGUUUAGGUCAUAUCGGUGUAAAGCGCAUGAAGAAACUCCAUACUGAUGGACUUUUGGAACCACUUGAUUAUGAAUCACUUGGUACUUGCGAACCGUGCCUUAUGGGUAAGAUGACAAAAACACCGUUCUCCGAUACUAUGGAGAGAGCAACAGAUUUGUUGGAAAUCAUACAUACAGAUGUAUGUGGUCCGAUGAAUGUUGAGGCUCGUGGCGGAUAUCGUUAUUUUCUCACCUUCACGGAUGACUUAAGCAGAUAUGGGUAUAUCUACUUAAUGAAACAUAAGUCUGAAACAUUUGAAAAGUUCAAAGAAUUUCAGAGUGAAGUUGAAAAUCAUCGUAACAAAAAAAAUAAAAUUCCUACGAUUUGAUCGUGGAGGAGAAUAUUUGAGUUACAAGUUUGGUGUACAUUUGAAAUAAUGCGGAAUAGUUUCACAACUCACGCCACCCGGAACACCACAGCGUAAUGGUGUGUCCGAACGUCGUAAUCGUACUUUACUUGAUAUGGUGCGAUCUAUGAUGUCUCUUACUGAUUUACCGCUAUCGUUUUGGGGUUAUGCUUUAGAGACGGCCGCAUUCACGUUAAAUAGGGCACCAUCGAAAUCCGUUGAGACGACGCCUUAUGAACUGUGGUUUGGCAAGAAACCAAAGUUGUCGUUUCUGAAAGUUUGGGGCUGUGAUGCUUAUGUGAAAAAGCUUCAACCUGAUAAGCUCGAACCCAAAUCGGAGAAAUGUGUCUUCAUAGGAUAUCCAAAGGAAACUAUUGGAUACACCUUCUAUCACAGAUCCGAAGGCAAGACUUUUGUUGCUAAAUUUGGAAACUUUCUAGGGAAGGAGUUUCUCUCGAAAGAAGUGAGUGGGAGGAAAGUAGAACUUGAUGAGGUAACUGUACCUGCUCCCUUAUUGGAAAGUAGUACAUCACAGAAACCGGUUUUUGUGACACGUACACCAAUUAGUGAGGAAGCUAAUGAUGAUGAUUAUGAAACUUCAGAACAAGAUACUACUGAACCUCAUAGAUCAACCAGAGUAAGAUCCGCACCAGAGUGGUACGGUAAUCCUAUUCUGGAAUUCAUGCCACUAGAUCAUGAUGAACCUACGAACUAUGGAGAAGCGAUGGUGAGCCCAGAUUCCGCAAAAUGGCUUGAAGCCAUGAAAUCUCAGAUGGGAUCCAUGUAUGAGAACAAAGUAUGGACUUUGGUUGACUUGCCAAAAUAUCGGCAAGCAAUUGAGAAUAAAUGGAUCUUCAAGAAGAAGACUGACGCUGACGGUAAUGUUACUGUCUACAAAGCUCGACUUGUCGCAAAAGAUUUUUGACAAGUUCAAGGGAUUGAAUACGAUGAGACCCUCUCACCCGUAGCGAUGCUUAAGUCUGUCCGAAUCAUGUUAGCAAUUGCCGCAUUUUAUGAUUAUGAAAUUUGGCAGAUGGAUGUAAAAACUGCAUUCCUGAAUGGAUUUCUGGAAGAAGAGUUGUAUAUGAUGCAACCGGAAGGUUUUGUCGAUCCAAAGGGAGCUAACAAAGUGUGCAAGCUCCAGCGAUCCAUUUAUGGACUGGUGCAAGCCUCUCGGAGUUGGAAUAAACGCUUUGAUAGUGUGAUCAAAGCAUUUGGUUUUGUACAGACUUUUGGAGAAGCCUGUAUUUACAAGAAAGUGAGUGGGAGCUGUGCAGCAUUUCUGAUAUUAUAUGUAGAUGACAUAUUACUAAUCGGAAAUGAUAUAGAAUUUCUGGAUAGCAUAAAGGGAUACUUGAAUAAGAGUUUUUCAAUGAAAGACCUCGGUGAAGCUGCUUACAUAUUGGGCAUUAAGAUCUAUAGAGAUAGAUCAAGACGCUUAAUUGGACUUUCACAAAGCACAUACCUUGACAAAAUUUUGAAGAAGUUCAAAAUGGAUCAAGCAAAGAAAGGAUUCUUGCCUGUGUUACAAGGUGUGAAAUUGAGUAAGACUCAAUCCCGACCAAUGCAGAAGAUAAAGAGAAAAUGAAAGAUGUUCCCUAUGCUUCAGCCAUAGGCUCUAUCAUGUAUGCAAUGCUGUGUACCAGACUUGAUGUGUGUCUUGCUAUAAGUCUAGCAGGGAGGUAACAAAGUAAUCCAGGAGUGGAUCACUGGACAACGGUCAAAAACAUCCUGAAAUACCUGAAAAGGACUAAGGAUAUGUUUCUCGUAUAUGGAGGUGACAAAGAGCUCAUCGUAAAUGGUUACGUUGAUGCAAGCUCUGACACUAAUCCGGACGAUUCUAAAUCGCAAACUAGAUACAUGUUUACAUUAAACGGUGGAGCUGUCAGUUGGUGCAGUUCUAAACAAAGCGUUGUGGCGGGAUCUACAUGUGAAGCGGAGUACAUAGCUGCUCCGGAAGCAGCAAACGAAGGAGUCUGGAUGAAGGAGUUCAUAUCCGAUCUAGGUGUCAUACCUAGUGCAUCGGGUCCAAUGAAAAUCUUUUGUGACAAUACUGGUGCAAUUGCCUUGGCAAAGGAAUCCAGAUUUCACAAGAGAACCAAGCACAUCAAGAGACGCUUCAAUUCCAUCCGGGAUCUAGUCCAGGUGGGAGACAUAGAGAUUUGCAAUAUACAUACGGAUCUGAAUGUUGCAGACCCGUUGACUAAGCCUCUUCCACGAGCAAAACAUGAUCAGCACCAAAGCUCUAUGGGUGUUAGAAUCAUUACUGUGUAAUCUAGAUUAUUGACUCUAGUGCAAGUGGGAGACUGAAGGAAAUAUGCCCUAGAGGCAAUAAUAAUGUUAUUAUUUUAUUUCCUUAUAUCAUGAUAAAUGUUUAUUAUUCAUGCUAGAAUUGUAUUAUCCGGAAACAUAAUACUUGUGUGAAUACAUAGACAAACUAAACGUCACUAGUAUGCCUCUACUUGACUAGCUCGUUAAUCAAAGAUGGUUAUGUUUCCUAACCAUAGACAUGUGUUGGCAUUUGAUUAACGGGAUCACAUUAUUAGGAGAAUGAUGUGAUUGACAUGACCCAUUCCAUUAGCUUAGCACCCGAUCGUUUAGUAUGUUGCUAUUGCUUUCUUCAUGACUUAUACAUGUUCCUAUGACUAUGAGAUUAUGCAACUCCCGUUUGCCGGAGGAACACUUUGUGUGCUACCAAACAUCACAAUGUAACUGGGUGAUUAUAAAGGAGCUCUACAGGUGUCUCCAAAGGUAAAUGUUGGGUUGGCGUAUUUCGAGAUUAGGAUUUGUCACUCCGAUUGUCGGAGAGGUAUCUCUGGGCCCUCUCGGUAAUGCACAUCACAUAGGCCUUGCAAGCAUUCCAACUAAUGUGUUAGUUGCGAGAUGAUGUAUUACGAAACGAGUAAAGAGACUUGCCGGUAACGAGAUUGAACUAGGUAUUGAAAUACCGACGAUCGAAUCUCGGGCAAGUAACAUACCGAUGACAAAGGGAACCACAUAUGUUGUUAUGCGGUCUGACCGAUAAAGAUCUUCGUAGAAUAUGUGGGAGCCAAUAUGAGCAUCCAGGUUCCGCUAUUGGUUAUUGACCGGAGACGUGUCUCGGUCAUGUCUACAUUGUUCUCGAACCCGUAGGGUCCGCACGCUUAAGGUUUCGAUGACAGUUAUAUUAUGAGUUUAUGAGUUUUGAUGUACUGAAGUUAGUUCGGAGUCCCGGAUGUGAUCAUGGACAUGACGAGGAGUCUCGAAAUGGUUGAGACAUAAAGAUUGAUAUAUUGGAAGCCUAUGUUUGGACAUCGGAAGUGUUCCAGGUGAAAUCGGCAUUUUACCGGAGUACCAGGAGGUUACCGGAACCCCCUGGUAACCUAAUGGGCCUUAAUGGGCCUAGUGGAGGAAGAGGAGAGGAGGCCUAGGGGCUGCCGCACGCCCCUCCCCCCCAAGUCCGAAUUGGACAAGGAGGGGGGCGGCGCCCCCCCUUUCCUUUCUUCCCUCUCCUCCUUCCCUCAAGUCCUAAUCCAACUAGGGAAAGGGAGGGAAGUCCUACUCCCGGUAGGAGUAGGACUCCUCCUGCGCGCCUCCUCCUAGGGCCGGCCGCACCCCCCCUUGGCUCCUUUAUAUAUGGGGACAGGGGGCACCCCUAGACACACAAGUUGAUCUCUAAGAUCGUUCUCUUAGCCGUGUGCGGUGCCCCUUCCACCAUAGUCCUCGAUAAUAUUGUAGUGGUGCUUAGGCGAAGCCCUGCAACAGUAGAACAUCAAGAUCGUCACCACGCCGUCGUGCUGACGGAACUCUUCCCCGACACUUUGCUGGAUCGGAGUCCGGGGAUCGUCAUUGAGCUUAAUGUGUGCUAGAACUCGGAUGUGUCGUAGUUUCGGUGCUUGAUCGGUCGGGCCGUGAAGACGUACGACUACAUCAACCGUGUUGUCAUAACGCUUCCGUUGUCGGUCUACGAGGGUACGUAGAUCACACUCUCCCCUCUCAUUGCUAUGCAUCACCAUGAUCUUGCGUGUGCGUAGGAAUUUUUUUGAAAUUACUACGUUCCCCAACACUCUCCAUUCCAAGCCCACGGAUCACACAGAUUAUGGUGCACGCGACCAAUGACAAAAAUAGGGAAAGGCACAAUGUUUACAAGGUUAGGAACAUCUAGAUGAAUAGAUGGAUGAGAGUAAUUAGAAAAUUUCUCACCAAGAACGACGUAGGAUUGUGAGUGUGACGGGCGAUGUAGAUUGAAAGGCAAAAUUUAUUUUCCAUGAUGCACAAUUCAAGUUUGGUCUGAUUGAAAUUUCUCGUCAUUGAUACGGUCCUGAUGGCAUGGCAGGGACACACGUUUGCUUUAGCUUACUGUAGGUGUAGUCCUUUUGUUUCAGGUCCAAAGCAAAGGAAGAUUGCCUUUCGGCUCAUGACCAAAUGAAGUAGUUUUUCAGUCUGUACAAAAAGGCAUCUUUGGCCCAUCAAACCCAUUAAGCUACAUGCAAGGGGCGAUCCCUCGCGAUAACCACGUCGUCACUUUUUACUGUGCCAAAACGCAGUGUAGGGAGAGAUAAUAAUAAACAAAGUGGGGGACAUGGACGAGAUCGAGACGGGCAAUUGGGCAUGACCUAGCCCGCGUCUCCGCCACAACCCAGUCACUCUUCGUUCGACAAGGGACCGAUGGGGUGAUACUUUUGACUUGUUUUAAACCAGGACCAUAAUUUUGAUGUUUGCUAAAAAAAGUAAAACAAAGUUCCAGUAACUGGAUUGACCAUUCAAUGGAAACGACACUUCUCAAGCUAUCAAGAGCAUUACCUACCUCUUAUUCUACAAUUAAGAACAUGUUAUCACAUAACCAAGGACUUUGUAGCCACCCCGCAAUCUUAGCAUGAAAUCGUCAAAACCUUUCAACCUAAUCGAAGGGGAAGACUUGGUUGGUCACCAAGCUCGAUGGUCAGUCCAAAGUCCAAACCAUUGCACAUGCAUAGUUGCCAUUGAGUAUUUUUUAGGCCCUGUUUGGUUUCAAGAGUUAGAGUUUGUUUGGAUUAGUUUGGACUCAACUAACCAAAAAUAUCCAAACAGGAGGGUUAGUUUGGAUUAGAUGCAUCUAACCACCCAAAAAAUCUAACCCACUCAAGAGGUGCUUAUUUGGGUUAGUUCUCCUAGGAACCAUUAAAAGAAAUAUCUUUUCUCUCACUCUUCCCGCAGCAGAUCCCUCCCCACUUUCUCGAAGCUUCUCGUCAUCUCCCUCCCUCCCUUUCGCACCGCCUGUGAAGUCUGUUGGGGAUCGUAGCAGAAAUUUAAAAUUUUCUACGCAUCACCAAGAUCAAUCUAUGGAGUAAUCUAGCAACGAGGGGAAGGGGAGUGCAUCUACAUACCCUUGUAGAUCGCUAAGCGGAAGCGUUGCAAGAACGCGGAUGAAGGAGUCGUACUCGCAGUGAUUCAGGUCGCGGUUGAUUCCGAUCUAAGCGCCGAACAACGGCGCCUCCGCGUUCAACACACGUGCAACCCGGUGACGUCUCCCACGCCUUGAUCCAUCAAGGGGAGAAGGAGAGGUUGGGGAAGACUCCAUCCAGCAGCAGCACGACGGCGUGGUGGUGAAGGAGGAGCAUGGCAAUCCUGCAGGGCUUCGCCAAGCACCGCGGGAGAAGAGGAGGACUUGGGAGAGGGGGAGGGCUGCGCCAGAACUUGGGUGCGGCUGCUCUCCCACCCCCCACACAUAUAUAGGGGCAAGGGAGAGGGGGGCCGGCCCCCUUAGAUCCAAUCUGAGGAGGGGGCGGCGGCCAGGGGGGUUGCCUUGCCCCCCAAGGCAAGGGGGCGCCCCCCUUUAGGGUUCCCCCAAACCCUAGGCGCAUGGGCCCUAGGGGGGAGGCGCCCAGCCCACUAAGGGGCUGGUCCCUCUCCACACACAGCCCAUAGGGCCCUCCGGGGCAGGUGGACCCUCCCGGUGGACCCCCGGAACCCCUUUGGUGGUCCCAGUACAAUACCGGUAACCCCCCAAAUUAUUCCGGUGACCGUAUGAUGACUUCCCAUAUAUAAAUCUUUACCUCCGGACCAUUCCGGAACUCCUCGUGAUGUCCGGGAUCUCAUCUGGGACUCCGAAUAACAUUCGGUAACCACGUACAUCUAUUCCCUAUAACCCUAGCGUCAUCGAACCUUAAGUGUGUAGACCCUACGGGCUCGGGAGUCAUGCAGACAUGGCCGAGACAACUCUCCGGUCAAUAACCAAUAGCGGGAUCUGGAUACAACCAUGUUGGUUCCCUCAUGCUCCACGAUGAUCUCAUCGGAUGAACCACGAUGUCAAGGAUUCAAUCAAUCCCGUACACAAUUCCCUUUGUCUACCGUUACGAUACUUGCCCGAGAUUCGAUCGUCGGUAUCCCGAUACCUUGUUCAAUCUCGUUACCGGCAAGUCUCUUUACUCGUUCCGUAACAGAUCAUCCCGUGAUCAACUCCUUGGUCACAUUGUGCACAUUAUGAUGAUGUCCUACCGAGUGGGCCCAAAGAUACCUCUCCAUUACACGGAGUGACAAAUCCCACUCUCGAUUCGUGCCAACCCAACAGACACUUUAGGAGAUACCCGUAGUGCACCUUUAUAGCCACCCAAUUACGUUGUGACGUUUGGCACACCCAAAGCACUCCUACGGUAUCCGGGAGUUGCACAAUCUCAUGGUCUAAGGAAAUGAUACUUGACAUUAGAAAAGCUUUAGCAUACGAACUACACGAUCUUGUGCUAGGCUUAGGAUUGGGUCUUGUCCAUCACAUCAUUCUCCUAAUGAUAUGAUCCCGUUAUUAACGACAUCCAAUGUCCAUGGUCAGGAAACCGUAACCAUCUAUUGAUCAACGAGCUAGUCAACUAGAGGCUUACUAGGGACAUGGUGUUGUCUAUGUAUCCACACAUGUAUCUGAGUUUCCUAUCAAUACAAUUCUAGCAUGGAUAAUAAACGAUUAUCAUGAAUAAGGAAAUAUAAUAAUAACCAAUUUAUUAUUGCCUCUAGGGCAUAUUUCCAACAGUCUCCCACUUGCACUAGAGUCAAUAAUCUAGUUCACAUCGCCAGUGAUUGACACUCACAGGUCACAUCGCCAUGUGACCAACAUACAAAGAGUUUACUAGACUCAAUAAUCUAGUUCACAUCACUAUGUGAUUAACACUCAAUGAGUUCUGGGUUUGAUCAUGUUAUGCUUGUGAGAGAGGUUGUAGUCAACGGGUCUGCAAUAUUCAGAUCCCUAUGUAUUUCACAAAACUUUAUGUCAUAUUGUAGAUGCUGCUACCACGUUCCACUUGGAGCUACUCCAAAUUGUUGCUCCAUUAUACGUAUCCGGUAUCUCUACUCAGAGCUAUACGGACAGGUGUUAAGCUUGCAUCAACGUAACUCUUUACGUCGAACUCUUUAUCACCUCCAUAACCGAGAAACAUUUCCUUAUUCCUCUAAGGAUAAUUUUGACCGCUAUCUGGUGAUCCACUCCUAGAUCACCUUUGUACCCUCUUGCCAGACAUGUGGCAAGGCACACAUCUGGUGCGGUACUCAGCAUGGCAUACCGUAAAGAGCCUAUGACAAAAGCAUAGGGGACGACCUUCGUCCUUCCUCUUUCUUCUGCCGUGGUCAAUCUUUGAGUCUUACUCAACUUCACACCUUACAACUCAGGUAAGAAUCCCUUCUUUGACUGAUCUAUUUUGAACUCCUUCAAAAACAUGUCAUGGUGUGCGUUCUUUGAAAGUAUCCUCAGAUAUCUUGAUCUAUCUCUAUAGAUCUUGAUGCCCAAUAUGUAAGCAGCUUUAUCUAGGUCUUCCUUUGAAAAUCACUCUUCAAACAACCGUUUAUGCUUUCCAGAAAUUCUACAUUAUUUCGAAUCAACAAUAUGUCAUCCACAUAUACUUAUCAGAAAUGUUGUAAUGCUCCCACUCACUUUCUUGUAAAUACAAGUUUCUAGCAAACAUUGUAUAAACCUAAAAGCUUUGAUCACUCUAUCAAAGCAUAUAUUCCGACUCCGAGAUGCUUGCUCUAGUCCAUAGAAGGAUUGCUGGAGCCAGCAUACCUUUUAGCAUCCUUAGGAUCGAAACCUUUUAUUUUAUCACAUACAACUUUUUCUUACGAAAACUGGUAAGAAAACUUGUUUUGACAUCCAUCUGUCAGAUUUCAUAAUCGAAAAAUACAGCUAAUGCUAACAUGAUUCCGACGGACUUAAACAUCGCUACGGGUGAGAAAAUCUCAUCGUAGUCAACUCCUUGAACUUGUGAAAAGACUCUUUGCCACAAGUCGAGCUUCAUAGACGGUACAUUACCGUCCACGUCCGUCUUCUUCUUAAAGAUCCAUUUAUCUCAAUGACUUGCCGAUCAUCGAGCAAGUCCACCAAAGUCCAUGCUUUGUUCUGAUACAUGGAUCCUAUCUCGGAUUUCAUGGCUUCUAACCAUCUGUCGGAAUACGGUCCCACCAUUGCUUCUCCAUAGUUCGUAGGUUCAUUGUUGUCCAACAACAUGAUAUCUAAGACAUGAUUACCGUACCACUCAGGAGUAGUACAUAUCCUUGUCGACCUAUGAGGUUCGAUAGGAACUUGAUCCGAAGCUUCAUGAUCACUAUCAUUAACUUCCUCUUCAACAGAUGUAGGCGCCACGGAAAACAUCUUUCUGUGUUGCAUCACUCUCUGGUUGAAGUAAAGGUUCGACAACCUCAUCAAGUUCUAUCUUCCUCCCACUCAAUUCUUUCGAGAGAAACUCCUUCUCGAGAAAGGACUCUUUCUUAGCGACAAACAAUUUGCCCUCGGAUCUGAGGUAGAAGGUAUACCCAACUGUUACCUUUGGGUAUCCUAUGAAGAUGUAUUUGUCCGUUUUUGGGUUCGAGCCUUUCCGGCUGAAGCCUUAAGUAUCGCAGCCCCAAACAUUAAGAAACGACAACUUUGGUUUCUUGCCAAACCAAUGUUCAUACGACGUCGUCUCAACGGACUUAUAUGGUGUCCUAUCUAAAGUGAAUGCAGCUGUCUCUAAUGCAUAACCUCAAAAUAAUAGUGGUAGAUCAGUAAGAGACAUCAUAGAUCGCACCAUAUCUCAUAAGGUUUGAUUAUGAUGUCCGGACACACCAUUACGCUGUGGUGUUCCAGGUGGCUUCAACUGCGAAACAAUUCCACAAUGUCUUAAGUGAUUGCCAAACUCAUAACUCAGAAAAUCCCCCUUUGAUCAGAUCAUAGGAACAUGAUCUUCUUGUUAUGAUGAUUCUUAACUUCACUCUGAAAUCGCUUGAACUUUUCAAACAUUUCAGACUUGUGCUUCAUUAAGUAAAUAUACCUAUAUCUACUCAAAUCGUCAGUGAAGAUGAGAAAAUAGCGAUAUCCACCGCAUGCUUCAAUUCUCAUUGGAUCACACGCAUCAACAUGUAUGAUUUCCAACAAGUCACUUGCCCGUUUCAUUGUACCUGAAAACGGGGCCUUAGUCAUCCUGCCCAUGAGGCAUGGCUCGCAUGUGUCAAGCGAUUCAAAAUCAAGUGACUCCAAACAUCCAUCGACAUGGAGUUUCUUCAUGCAUCUUAUGCCAAUAUGACCUAAGCGGCAGUGCCACAAGAAAGUGGUACUAUCAUUAUUAACUCUACAUCUUUUGGCGUGAACAUGCGUAUUACCACGACUGAGAUUUAAUGAACCAUCACAUAGGGUGCAUGACCAUGAAAGGUAUUAUUCAUGUAAACAGAAUAACCAUUAUUCUCUAACUUAAAUGAAUAACCGUAUUGCAAUGAACAUGAUCUAAUCAUAUUCAUGCUCAACGUAGACACCUGAUAACAUUUAUCUAGGUUGAAUACUAAUCCCGAAGGCAGAUGGAGCGUGCGAUGGUGAUCUCAUCAACUUUGGAAACACUUCCAACACACAUCGUCACCUCGCCCUUAGCCAGUCUCCGUUUAGUCCGUAGAUUUUGCUUCAAGUUACCAAUAAUAGCAACUGAACCUGUAUCCAAUACCCAGGUGCUACCAGGAGUACUAGUGAGGUACACAUUAAUAACACGUAUAUACUUUGUUGAAGUUGCUAGCCUUCUUAUCUACCAUGCAUUUGGGGUAAUUCCGCUACCAGUGACCAUUCCCCUUACAAUAGAAGCACUUAGUCUCGGGUUUGGAUUCAACCUUGGGUUCCUUCACUAGAGCGGCAACUGGUUUGCCAUCCAUGAAAUUUCCCUUCUAGCCCUUGCCCUUCUUGAAACCAGUGGUCUUGUUAAACCAUCAACACUUGAUGCUCCUUCUUGAUUUCUACCUUUUGCGGUCUUAAGCACCGCGAACAGCUCCGGGAUCAACUCCAUCCCUUGCAUGUCAUAGUUCAUCACGAAGAUCUAGUAGCUUAGUGAUAGUGGCUAGAGAACUCUAUCAAUCACUAUCUUAUCUGGAAGUUUAACUCCCACCUGAUUUAAGUGAUUGUAGCACCCAGACAUUCUGAGCACAUGCUCACUAGCUGAGCUAUUCUCCUCCAUCUUGUUGGCAAAAGAACUUGUCAGAGGUCUCAUACCUCUCAACACGGCAUGAGCCUGAAAUCCCAAUUUCAGCUCUUGGAACAUCUCAUAUGUCUUAUGGUGUUCAAAACGUCAUUGGAAUCCCGAUUCUAAGCCGUAAAGUAUGGUGCACUAAACUAUCAAGUAGUCAUCAGGAUGUGUCUGUCAGGUGUUCACAACAUCCACAGAUGACGUUGUAGGGGUUUGCACAUCAAGCGGUGCAUCAAAGACGCAAGCCUUCUGUGUAGCAGUGAGGACACUCCUCGGACUACGGACCCAGUCCGCAUCAUUGCUUACAAUAUCUUUCAACUUAGUCUUUCUCUAGGAACGUAUUGAAACAGGGAGCUACAACGUGAGCUAUUUAUCUAUAACAUAUUUGUAAAGACAAUUUAGACUAUGUUCAUGAUAAUUAAGUUCAUCUAAUCAAAUUAUUUAAUGAACUCCCACUCAGAUAGACAUCCCUCUAGUCAUCUAAGUGAUGCAUGAUCCGAGUCAACUAGGCCAUGUCCGAUCAUCACAUGAGACUUACUAGUCAUCAUCGGUGAACAUCUUCAUGUUGAUCGUAUCUUCUAUACGACUCAUGUUCGACCUUUUGGUCUUCCGUGUUCCGAGGCCAUGUCUGUACAUGCUAGGCUCGUCAAGUCAACCUAAGUGUAUUGCGUGUGUAAAUCUGGCUUACACCCGUUGUAUUCGAACGUUAGAAUCUAUCACACCUGAUCAUCACGUGGUGCUUCGAAACAACGAACCUUCGCCAUGGUGCACAGUUAGGGAGAACACUUUCUUGAAAUUAUUGCGAGGGAUCAUCUUAUUUAAGCUACCGUCGUUCUAAGCAAAUAAGAUGUAAAAUAUGAUAAACAUCACAUGAAAUCAAAUAGUGACAUGAUAUGGCCAAUAUCAUUUUGCUCCUUUUGAUCUCCAUCUUCGGGGCACCAUGAUCAUCAUCGUCACCGGCAUGACACCAUGAUCUCCAUCAUCGUGUCUUCAUGAAGUUGUCUCGUCAACUAUUACUUCUACUACUAUGGCUAACGGUUUAGCAAUAAAGUAAAGUAAUUACAUGACGUUUAAGUUGACACACAUGUCAUAAAUAAAUUAAGACAACUCCUAUGGCUCCUGCCGGUUGUCAUACUCAUCGACAUGCAAGUUGUGAUUCCUAUUACAAGAACAUGAUCAAUCUCAUACAUCACAUAUAUCAUUCAUCACAUCCUUUUGGCCAUAUCACAUCACAAGGCAUAUGCUGCAAAAACAAGUUAGACAUCCUCUAAUUGUUGUUGCAAAUUUUUACGUGGCUGCUAUAGGUUUCUAGCAAGAACGUUUCUUAUCUACCCAAAACCACAACGUGAUAUGCCAAUUUCUAUUUACCCUUCAUAAGGACCCUUUUCAUCGAAUCCGAUCCGACUAAAGUGGGAGAGACAGACACCCGCUAGCCACCUUAUGCAACUAGUGCAUGUCAGUCGGUGGAACCUGUCUCACGUAAGAGUACGUGUAAGGUCGGUCCGGGCCGCUUCAUCCCAUGAUGCCGCCGAAUCAAGAUAAGACUAGUAACGGCAAGUAAAUUGACAAAAUCAAGGCCCACAACAACUUGUGUUUUACUCGUGCAUAGAAACUACGCAUAGACCUAGCUCAUGAUGCCACUGUUGGGGAUCGUAGCAGAAAUUUAAAAUUUUCUACGCAUCACCAAGAUCAAUCUAUGGAGUAAUCUAGCAACAAGGGGAAGGGGAGUGCAUCUAUAUACCCUUGUAGAUCGCUAAGCGGAAGCGUUGCAAGAACGCGGAUGAAGGAGUCGUACUCGCAGCGAUUCAGAUCGCGGUUGAUUCCGAUCUAAGCGCCGAACAAUGGCGCCUCUGCGUUCAACACACGUGCAGCCCGAUGACGUCUCCCACGCCUUGAUCCAGCAAGGGGAGAAGGAGAGGUUGGGGAAGACUCCAUCCAGCAGCAGCACGACGACGUGGUGGUGAAGGAGGAGCGUGUCAAUCCUCUAGGGCUUCGCCAAGCACCGGGAGAGAAGAGGAGGACUUGGGAGAGGGGGAGGGCUGCGCCAGAACUUGGGUGCGGCUGCCCUCCCACCCCCACAUAUAUAUAGGGGCAAGGGAGAGGGGGGGCGGCCCCCUCAGAUCCAAUCUGAGGAGGGGCGGCGGCCAGGGGGGUUGCCUUGCCCCCCAAGGCAAGGGGCGCCCCCCUUUAGUGUUCCCCCUAAACCCUAGGCGCAUGGGCCCUAGGGGGGAGGUGCUCAGCGCACUAAGGGGCUGGUCCCUCUCCACACACAGCCCAUAGGGCCCUCCGGGGCAGGUGGACCCUCCCGGUGGACCCCUCGGAACCCCUUUGGUGGUCCCGCUACAAUACCGGUAACCCCCCGAAUUAUUUCGGUGACCGUAUGAUGACUUCCCAUAUAUAAAUCUUUACCUCCGGACCAUUCCGGAACUCCUCGUGACAUCCGAGAUCUCAUUCGGGACUCCGAAUAACAUUCGGUAACCACAUACAUCUAUUCCCUAUAACCCUAGCGUCAUCGAACCUUAACUGUGUAGACCCUACAGGCUCAGGAGUCAUGCAGACAUGGUCGAGACAACUCUCCGGUCAACAACCAACAGCGGGAUCUGGAUACCCAUGUUGGUUCCCACAUGCUCCAUGAUGAUCUCAUCGGAUGAACCACGAUGUCAAAGAUUCAAUCAAUCCCGUAUACAAUUCCCUUUGUCUAUUGGUACGAUACUUGCCCGAGAUUCGAUCGUCGGUAUCCCAAUACCUUGUUCAAUCUCGUUACCGGCAAGUCUCUUUACUCGUUCCGUAACACAUCAUCCCGUGAUCAACUCCUUGGUCACAUUGUGCACAUUAUGAUGAUGUCCUACCGAUUGGGCCCAGAGAUACCUCUCCGUUACACGGAGUGACAAAUCCCAGUCUCGAUUCGUGCCAACCCAACAAACACUUUCGGAGAUACCCGUAGUGCACCUUUAUAGCCACCCAAUUAUGUUGUGACGUUUGGCACACCCAAAGCACUCCUACGGUAUCCGGGAGUUGCACAAUCUCAUGGUCUAAGGAAAUGAUACUUGACAUUAGAAAAGUUUUAGCAUACGAACUACACGAUCUUGUGCUAGGCUUAGGAUUGGGUCUUGUCCAUCACAUCAUUCUCCUAAUAAUGUGAUCCCGUUAUCAACAACAUUCAAUGUCCAUGGUCAGGAAACCGUAACCAUCUAUUGAUCAACGAGCUAGUCAACUAGAGGCUUACUAGGGACAUGGUGUUGUCUAUGUAUCCACACAUGUAUCCGAGUUUCCUAUCAAUACAAUUCUAGCAUGGAUAAUAAACGAUUAUCAUGAACAAGGAAAUAUAAUAAUAACCAAUUUAUUAUUGCCUCUAGGGCAUAUUUCCAACAAAGUCGUCCCGCCGUAUCCGCGCUUCCGUUCGCCGCUGGUAAGCAGCCCCGCCCUAUCCUCCCGUUCCAACCCCCUCGUGUUCCCGCGGUCCGUCCGCCCGCCAGUAAGUAGUCGCGGCUCCUUGCCUGGCCCGCCCCCGUCGGCCUCGCUCCGCCAAAUCCGGCAAGUAAUAGUGUAUGAUGUGGGAAUUAUGUGUUGUAUUCCUCAGGUGCAAACGCACGUAUAUAUGAUGUACAGGAGUAGGCCACGACCUGAACUAUACCAGGCAACUAGGAGGUGGACCCAAUACAUAAAUAUGCACAACACAUAUACUCAACACCCCCCCCCGCAGUACAAGCGGCACCACGGCUGACGCAAAGACUGGACCGGAACUCCUCAAAUGACGCCGUAGGCAAGCUCUUGGUCAUGAUAUCUGCGAAUUGUUGGGAAGUAGGAACGUGUAAACCACGAAUAUGGCCAAGGGCCACCUGUUCCCGAACAAAAUGAAUUCCAACUCAAUAUGCUUGGUCCGUCGAUGAUGCACCGGGUUAGCGGAGAGGUAGACCGCCGAGACGUUGUCGCAGUAGACCAUCGUGGCACGGUCAACAGGGCAAGAGAGCUCCUGAAGCAGCUGGCGAAGCGACGAACACUCAGCGACAGCGUUGGCCACCGCACGAUACUCGGCCUCAGCACUGGAACGAGAGACCGUAGGCUGCCGCUUGGACGACCACGAGAUAAGUGAGGGUCCAAGGUAGACACAAUAGCCCGUUGUGGAGCGACGAGUGUCAGGGCAGCCCGCCCAGUCUGCAUCGGAGUAGGCGGUGAGGGUGGUGUCGGCGGAGGCAUGAAGCGUGACGCCAAGAUCCAUAGUGCCACAGAUAUAGCGGAGAAUCCUCUUGAUGGCAACCCAGUGAACGUCUCGAGGAGCAUGCAUAUGAAGACACACCUGCUGCACGACAUACUGGAUCUCCGGUCAAGUCAGAGUGAGGUACUGGAGAGCACCAACGAGAGAUCGGUAGAAAGCAGCAUCCGAAACAGGAGAACCAUCCGUGGUAGAAAGCUUGGCCUUCGUAUCAACAGGCGUAGCGGCAGGCUUGCAGUUAAGCAUGCCGGUGCGCUCCAGGAGCUCGUGAGCGUACUUCCGCUGAUGAAGGAAGAAGCCAUCCGGACGGCGCACCACCUCGACCCCGAGGAAGUAGUGCAAAGGACCCAAGUCCUUGAUGGCAAACUCAGCGCGAAGACGAGCCGUGAGCUGACUGAGAAGGCCAGCCUUACAUGCCGUCAGGAUGAUGUCAUCGACAUAAAGCAGCAAGUAGGCCAUGCCAGAGCCCUGAUGAUAGACGAAGAGCGAGGCGUCCGAGCGGGUAGAGCGGAACCCAAGCUGGUGGAGAAACGCCGUGAUGCGCUGGUACCAAGCGCGCGGAGCCUGCUUGAGUCCGUACAAGGACCGCGAAAGCAGGCACACGUGGUCGGGAAGCACCGGGUCAACAAACCAAGUGGGCUGCUGGCAGAAGACCUGCUCCUCGAGGUGACCAUGAAGGAAGGCGUUCGAGACGUCCAUCUGGUGCACCGGCCAAGCACGGGAGACCGCAAGGUGGAGAACCGUGCGUAUCGUGCCGGGCUUGACGACCGGAGCGAAGGUGUCGGUGAAGUCGAUGCCAGCACGCUGUCAGAAGCCACGAACAACCCAGCGCGCUUUGUAGCGAUCAAGGGUACCAUCAGGACGGAGCUUGUGUUUGAAAACCCACUUCCCGGUAAUCAUGUUGGCGUGCCGGGGACGGGGAACAAGCUGCCAUGUCCGGUUGCGCAACAGGGCGUCAAACUCCUCUUGCAUCACAGCCAUCCAGAGCGGGUCACGAAGAGCAACUCGAACGGAGGACGGCAACGGGGACGACUCAGAGGUGGAUGCCGCAUGGACAUAGUCAUCCGAGGCGUAGCGAGAGCUCGGCCGAAGGACGCCCGUACGGGCGCGGGUGACCACACNNNNNNNNNNNNNNNNNNNNNNNNNNNNNNNNNNNNNNNNNNNNNNNNNNNNNNNNNNNNNNNNNNNNNNNNNNNNNNNNNNNNNNNNNNNNNNNNNNNNNNNNNNNNNNNNNNNNNNNNNNNNNNNNNNNNNNNNNNNNNNNNNNNNNNNNNNNNNNNNNNNNNNNNNNNNNNNNNNNNNNNNNNNNNNNNNNNNNNNNNNNNNNNNNNNNNNNNNNNNNNNNNNNNNNNNNNNNNNNNNNNNNNNNNNNNNNNNNNNNNNNNNNNNNNNNNNNNNNNNNNNNNNNNNNNNNNNNNNNNNNNNNNNNNNNNNNNNNNNNNNNNNNNNNNNNNNNNNNNNCGGGGGCGUCGGGGCCGCCAAUGUCGCGGCUGUAGGAGGCACCGUAAGCGAGGGGCGCGCCUCAAAGCCAGGGGGCGGGCUAAGAGAGGCGCGCGAGCGCCCUGGGACAGGCAUCGAAGAGCCCGCGUCACCGGUGGCGGGAGGAAUAGCCGGGGGUACCUCCUGAAACAGAAACACAUGCUCAUCAAAGUAAAUGUGCCGGGAAGUGAAGACACGAUGGGAGACGGGAUCGUAGCACCGAUAUCCCUUGGAGUUAGAGGGGUAGCCGAUGAAAAUGCAAGCGACAGAACGAGGUGCGAGUUUGUGAGGAGCGGAGUCGGCAGUGCUAGGAUAGCAAAGGCACCCGAAAAUACGCAAGCCAUCAUAAGAUGGGGGCGUACCGAAGAGAAGAUGGUGAGGUGCAUAGUUCCACCGUGGGCGGCAAAGGCGAAUGUUAAGGAGAAGUGAAGCAGUAGCGAGUGCGUCUGGCCAAAAACGAGGCGGCACAUUAGCAUGGAACAAGCGCGUGCGAACGCAGUCGUUUAGAGUGCGAAGGACGCGUUCGGCUUGACCGUUCUGCUGUGAAGUAUACGGGUAUGUGAGAUGAAAAAAAUGUGCCGUGGUGCGACAGAAAAGUGCGGAAAGCAAGGUUGUCGAACUCUUUUCCAUUGUCAGUCUGAAGAGCAAGAAUGGGACGCCCAAACUGCGUGCUGACAUAGGAUUAAAAAGCCGUCAAAGUGGAGAGUGUGUCUGACUUUCGUCGUAAAGGAAACGUCCACACAUAGUGAGAAUAAUCAUCAAGGAUAACCAGAUAAUAUAAAUAGCCCGAAUUACUAGGAACCGGAGAGGUCCACACAUCGCUAUGAAUCAACUGAAAAGGAAAAGAAGCUAUGGUGGUGGAGUUACUAAACGGGAGGCGAACAUGUUUGCCGACACGACAUGCAUGACAGGUGUGAUCCUCUAUCUUAUUACAACUGAAACUGAAACUCCUAAGAAUAUGACGAAGUGUGACGGGGUUAGGAUGACCCAAACGAGCGUGCCAGAGAUCGACGCCGGCGGAGAGAGCAACCGGUGCAGUGGUGGAGGUGGACGACGGAUGCACCAGAGAGAGCUCGUCGAGGCUGUCACAUCGGUGAAGUACCAUCCUGGUUCGAGCGUCCUUGACACAAAAACCAAGCUCGUCAAAUUCAACAGUAACAGGAUUUUCACGGGUUAAACAACGAACGGAAACAAAGUUCAUAAUAAGAUGAGGUGAGACAAGUAUGUUAGACAAAGUAAUAGGCAUGGAAUUAGAAGGAAAAGAAGUGUGCCCGACAUGUGUGAUAGGGAGGGUGGAACCGUUGCCAACAAUGAUGCGGCGCUCGGUGGUGAUGGGAGUGAAGGAGGCAAGAUUACCAGGAUGAGCAAACAUGUGAGCCGUAGCCCCGGUGUCCAUGUACCAAUCACCGCCUCCAGUGUAGUUGUUCGGUGUAGGCGCAGUGUGCAGCGCGGCGAGGAGCGCCGGAUCCCAAGGAGCCGGUGGCAGGGCCGGCGAGGGUGGCGUCGGGGUCGCAGGGAGACCGUAGGCGCCACUUAGCUGCGGCAGUGGGUAUCCUCCGUACGACUGCGGAGCCGCGUAGUACACCUGAUGCGUCGGUGGGCGCGGCACAGGAAGGGUCGGUGCAGGAGCCCGUGGAACCGGCAUGGUGUAGGCAUGAACGACACCGGUCCACGGGUUGUAGCCGGAGGCCCACGGAGGGGGCACCUGGAACUACUGCUGCUGCUGACGUGGCUGGCCGGCACCCGGCGGCUGCUGCUGCUGACCACCGCGGCGGCCCCCACCGCGCCGACCCCCGCAGCGCCGUUCGGCGGGAGGGGCAGGCAGCCCAUAGGGCAGCGGGAGUAGCCCCGACUGCUGGGUGGCCGGGUACGGCGGCGACGCCGGGGAUGGCGCCGGAUGGCGCUGCGAAGGGGGCGCGGUCGGGGCGGCGGGAGGCGCCGCGGAGGCGCCGCGGGUGGUGCCGGCGGCGAGAGCGGUGUGGAUGGCCCGCGCCUUCACCUGCUUCAUCCGCCGCUCCCCCAAGCGGAGAUACGCAACGAACUUGGCGAAGGACGGGUUGGGGAUGAGGCUGAGAUUCGCCGCGGCGUUGCCGAAGUCCUUGUUGAGCCCGGCGGUGAGCGUGCUGAGGAGGAGGUCAUCAUCGAUCUUCGCGCCAAUAUCGCGGAGCUCGUCAGCGAGAGUUUUCAGGCGGCGACAAUAGUCGUCGAUGGAGGCGUUGUCCUGGUGACACCCAAAAAACUCUUGCUGCAAAAAAACACGACGCUGGAGUUGAUUGUCGAUGAAGAGCCCGUUCAGUUUGGUCCACAUGUCGCAGGCAUCGUCACCGUCCGCCAUGACCGUCUGGAAGAGGUCCGGCGAGAUGGUGAGGAAAAACCAGCGGAUGAUCGUGGUGUCGAUGGUGGACCAGUCAUGGAACUGGGGACGAGGCUGGAGUCGACGGUGCCGUCCAUGUGGUCGAUGAGGUGAUACUCCCGAAACACGAGGAGAAAAUACGUCAUCCACGUGUAGUAGGAGGAGUUCGUCUGGAAGAGACGAACCGGCACCGGCUCGAAGAUGUUCAGGUUGCGAAGAACGUUCACAUUAGGAGGGUUGGCGUUGGCGAACGGGUUGGAAUUGAUGAACGUGGAAGAGAUGACGGACGACAUCGCAAGGGUGAGACGGCACGGUUGCUGCGGCGAAAACUGAGAGGAAAAAGACAGCUACGACACGAAGCGGCGGGGGCUGCUUGGUGGAGCGGCUCGGAGCUAGCGAACGCGGGCGGCGAUGUGUGCUAGCGAGCUGGGGUAGUGAUCAACAGGCUCUGCGAUUGAUUUGUUGGCAACUAGCGGGAAAGUGUGCAUGCACGAUCAAUGGUUUGGCGGCUAGCGGGGAAGUGUGCAGGCGCGAUCGGUGGCUGGCUUUGUUUGGCGGCUAGCGGGGAGGUGUCCUGGCGCGAGCGAGAGGCGGCCAGCAGGCGUGAUCGGGAGGCGGCCAGCAGCGCGAGAGGCGCGCGGCUAGCGGGGAGGGAGGCACACGGCGGCGGCGGCGGAAGCAAGGAGAAAACCUAAAAAACGGGAGUAUUUAACCAAAAACUACCACAAUUCGCGGAAACGUGACAGGAAAUUACCACUUUACGAUUUUGUACCGAAAACUACCACUUUUUUAUUAAUCCGUGACAAAAAACUACCAAGUGUGAAAACUGCUCGCUUUACCUGGGUUAAACGCAAAUCUGACUGCCCGACCCCACACAUAAACGGGCUAAAAAUGCAAUCGGGUCCCUAGUUUUUCUUCAAAAAAGCAAUCGGGUCCUCCGCCUCCUUCUCCGGUGAAGACCACCGCCGCCUCGAUCUCUUUCUCCGGUGACCCGCGUGCCUCCUCUGAGUUCAUGGCGGAGCUGGUGUGGCCGGAGCGGCUGGCGCCAAACCUUCCAUCCUCCUGCCAGACGUCGUCGCCGGCGGCGUGCGUACCUCCUGCUUUUUCCCCUUCCCUCUCUCUCAUCGACUGAUUUCCCCACCUGGCGACCAGCGGGCACAUGCGGUGAGCUCGGCACGCGCAGGCGGCGAGACUUGCGGGGCGCGGCAGCCACCAGGGAGCGCGUGCGAGAAAGAGGGGGAGGUGGUCCGAACCUGCACCAGAGGCGGGAAACGCUGGCGGCGCCGGCGAGGUCGGCAAGGUCGUCGCAGGGGGAGAGGUCCUCCCGACGCAGUCGACGAAGCCUGCGGGGUACAUGCGGCGACCAGCGGCUCACGGCAGAGCAUGGCGGCCAGCGGCGGCGCGUCACCGCUGCACGGACGAGGCGAGCAGGUGCGACGCGGUUCGCGGCAGCAUGUAGCGAGGCCAGCAGGGCCGCUACGCAGCUUGGCCUGGCAAGUGGUAGCUCCGACCGCAACGAGCAGCGGUAGUGCAUGGCCAUGGCUAGCUAGCCUGGCAACUCCGACGGUGUUGGGUACACCGUACACAAGCAGCUAGUGCGGUAGUGUCUCCGCCGCCGGCCAUCUUGCUCGCAUUGGAGCGUGUGGGGGCUGCCGGCGUGCCUGUGCCUUCCCGGCGAGAUGGGCGAGCUGGGGGGCUGAUUGCUUUUUCUAUACUGACGUGUGGGCCAACUCGUCAUAAUUGAGUUUAAACAAGUUGAAUCGGACACUUUUUAUACAUGGUAGUUUUUAGUCAAAGAUUAGUGAAAAAAUGGUAGUUUUUCGCACAAAUUUGUAAAGUGGUAGUUUAUAGGCACGGUUCCAUGAAUUGUGGUAGUUUUUUGUUAAAUACUCUAAAAAACUGAUACCAUGUAUGAUGUGGGAAUUAUGUGUUGUAUUCCUCAAGUGCAAACGCGCGUAUAUAUGAUGUACAGGAGUAGGCUAUGACCUUAACUAUACAAGACAACUAGGAGGUGAACCCAAUACAUAAAUAUGCACAACACAUAUACUCAAUAAAUAGGAUUUAAAGUAGCCAAAUGGUUGAGAAAGAACAUUUAUUGUCAAUCUAAUCAUGUCAUUCAAAUACCUUUUUGAUUAGAAUUAAUUUAGGGUUAGAAUCUAACUCUAACCUCCAACUCAUAUCCAAACAGGACCGUAGUAUGAGUACAAGUGGAGUUCCCGUGGUUGGCAAGCAACGGGACAAAACUGACAACGCGUCCGAGGCAACGAGACAGAGCGCAGUGAGUGUGAGUUUAAAAGCCCAAGUCGUAUAAACAAAACAAGUCUUCUUGCUGCACCGCGUCUUCAUCAGUGUGGAAACCUCCAACGAAGCUGCUACUCUGCUUUCUCGCUCGCCCAACCUCUUUGAUUCUGGCCUUAUAUAUACGGAUUGCAUCCUUGCAGCGAAGGGCACUCUGCUUCUCACCCACCGCAAGCUCCACCUCCACUCCACUCACAACCAGACGCAGCAGCCAGCCAGCAAUGACGCAGAGGAUCGUGAUCGCCGUGCAGAUGGCGAGCAGCAGGUGCCGGUCCAAGGCGCUGGCGCUGGUGGCGGCCACGCCGGGGGUGGACUCGGUGGCGCUGGCCGGGGACGCCAAGGACCAGGUGGUGGUCGUCGGCCACGGCGUCGACUCGGUCAAGCUCACCAGCGCCCUUCGCAGGAAGGUCGGCCACGCGCAGCUGCUGCAGGUCGGCGACGUCAAGAAGGAGGACCCGAAGAAGCCGGCGGCCGCCGUGGUCGAACACUACCCGCACUCGGGGUACUCCUACCCGUACGGCUACUACUACCCAUCGCAACCGGCGCCGGUGAACGUCUUCUACGGGCAGCAGCACUACCCUGCAGCCGCGGUCGAGGCGUGCGGGUACCCAUGCUCGCGGCCGGAGCCGGGCACCUGUUCGGUAAUGUAGAUAUGGAAGGAGGAAUUUGUUGGUUAAUCCUGCCGCGUGUAUGUACUAAGGUUCAGCUAGCAAUAGUGUCGAAUUUCAGUUAGUUACUGGCAUCAAGUUCAGUUCUUGUGUUUGCUUAGAUCCUAUUCCUAUGUAAUCGCCUGCGACCUGCAGUUCAAAGCCUCAAAGAGCAGAGUUUCUAACAAGCAGACCGUCGGCAUGAGAGUCAAAUGCGCCACUAGUCGAUGAACUCAAACUGAUUGCACACUUUAAACCAACAACUCAAGAAGUGAU